UCAUGGCGGAGCCUUUCUUUUUGGUCCCUUCGAAGGCGGUGCAGCUGAUGGACUUAACUUCUCGCAGCAGGUGGCGGGAACGACGCCACGGCCCGGAUGACAACCAAAAGGAGACAAAGAGGUGUAUUCUGUGUCUUUGAACCCUACUUACUGUGGAUAUCUCCAGGAUUUGAGAGAAGCUGGCUGCCAUAAACCUGUACAACUGUGUUGAAUGGAGGAUUUUUCAAGAACAAGCCAGCACACAUCUGGUCUUUGGGGCUAGGUCCUUCUGCAUCCUUUAUGAAAAAAGAACCUUCCACAGCCUGAAGCACUAUGAGUUCAAUGGAAUCACAGAGCUGUAAAACUGAGGGCACAAGAAGAUGGAACCAAAUCCUGGCAAUUCCUCUCUCAAGUUUGCUCUGCUUCUUUCUUCUCCUUCCUUUUUGCCCUGUUCUGCUGCCUUCUUUCUGGAUAACCCAGCAGGCUGUGAAAUCAGAUUAGUCAGUCCAAAACCACUGGGCACAUCUACAUUAUUAAUUUUAAUUCCUUGAAAUAGGUUUUGUUAUUCACAGAUUCAGGUUUAUUGGAGUCAUUUUUUUACAGAAAAGCUGAAAAAAUCUGAACGCCCAUACCAGUAAAAAGUUUUUUCUGGCAUUUUUCCAGAUAUCCAACUGUAUUAGACUUCAUUAAAGGAACUUUUUAUUGGGAUUUUUUUUCGAGGCUCUGGGGGGAGGUAUGAUGAAGUUUGGGUGUGGGGGGUCCAAUUCCAUAAGCAUUCAGUUUUCCUCCAUUUGGGUGCGCAUAUAAUUGGAUCCUUUUUGAGCAAACUUAGACAGUGUCUCUGUGCAGAAACGCAGCUUGAACAUCAGUCGGGUUUGUGGCCAAUGAUACCACAGCUGAACAGACAGUGGGAAAUUCUUAAUUCCUUUAAAGAUGCUUACAAUCAUCUCCCCAUCCAGACAUUUCCUUGGAUUUUGGAAUUCUGAAUUACUUGUUCCUAAAGCAGCACUAGUCCAUUAAAUAAUGUACAGUUUUAAAAUUUCCAGGCUUUGUUCAGACUUUUGUGCAUACACAAUUUGCCACAUUUCUCAGCUGACAUCUUUUUCACACAGACUACUGAUACGCAAGACUACACCUGCACAAUAAUUUGGUCACAGGGCAAAAGAGAGUCUUAUUGUAAUUGUAUAAUUGCAUGAGGAUUACUUCCUGAGCAAUUUAAUCAGUGCACAUAUGAGCUGGUACAUAGCAGUAACCAGCAGAAAAAAAACCGUGAACAGUGAACUGAAAACUGGCAAACUGCACAUAUUCUAAUUCAGAAAUUAAUUUUAGAAAGUUUUCAAGCUGAAUCAGAGUGAAGCAGCAUCAAGUGCAACAAUAACGAAGUAAGAGAAAUCCAUUCAUUCCCCAGCUCUUCCUUGAGAGUUGUAAUCCAGAUUUCUGCACCAGGAAAAUCCUGUUGCAUUUUUGUGGAUUCUUCCUCAGGAAAAAAGAUUAAUGGAAUUGUGAGGAAAGCGCAAAACAUUUUGAUCAGACCUGUUAAAUUUCUGGGGCGAGCAGAUCCUUCAUAUGUCAAACUAGUCACAAGAUCUUGUCUAAAAUGUGAAGAAUGGUGGGUGAAGAUAUUAGAGCUGACCCAGAUGGCCAAGUUAACUUUGCUACUUAAAGAAAAGAGUUUAAUUAAAUUCAUGGACAAUGGGAAACUCCUGAUAGAAUAUUUAGACAAAACAGAAAAAAAUAAAUUGAUGACUAGUGGUUUUGAAGGUUAAAGACUGUUAUAAUAAGGUCCAAUAAAGUGAGACUUUUUAAUAAUAAUGACCCUAAAGGUUUAAUUUCAUUUUGAUGCUUAAUGGCCAAGUGCUGCAAGAUUAGGGUUUAAAGGUUAAUAUUCAGUGCAGAAGAAACUAGAAGUCUCUAUGAAAUAGGUACUUUAUAAUGUGGUGAAUUUUUGUCUUCGCCUACAUGUUCAACUUUGAUUUUGAAGUACAAAUUUAAAAAAAUUUAGCAAAAAAUAAGGCUCUGCUCUAAAAUAAA